rfam:Brucella melitensis biovar Abortus 2308 chromosome I, complete sequence, strain 2308
AUUACCGAGGGGAACGACGCGCUAAAAAGCGCGCGCAAAAGAGAAACCCCGGCUUUCUCCGGGGUUUCUUCAUUUUAUCAAUAAGUUA